rnacentral:rRNA from 1 species
AGUGAACGCUGGCGGCGUGCUUAACACAUGCAAGUCGAACGGCAGCACGGACUUCGGUCUGGUGGCGAGUGGCGAACGGGUGAGUAAUACAUCGGAACGUGCCCAGUUGUGGGGGAUAACUACUCGAAAGAGUAGCUAAUACCGCAUGAGAACUGAGGUUGAAAGCAGGGGAUCGUAAGACCUUGCGCAACUGGAGCGGCCGAUGGCAGAUUAGGUAGUUGGUGGGAUAAAAGCUUACCAAGCCGACGAUCUGUAGCUGGUCUGAGAGGACGACCAGCCACACUGGGACCGAGACACGGCCCAGACUCCUACGGGAGGCAGCAGUGGGGAAUUUUGGACAAUGGGCGAAAGCCUGAUCCAGCAAUGCCGCGUGCAGGAUGAAGGCCUUCGGGUUGUAAACUGCUUUUGUACGGAACGAAAAGCUUCGGGUUAAUACCCUGGAGUCAUGACGGUACCGUAAGAAUAAGCACCGGCUAACUACGUGCCAGCCGCCGCGGUAAGAC